CCCUUAGAUGUUCUGGGCCGCACGCGCGCUACACUGAUGCAUUCAACGAGUCUAAAACCUGCUCUGAUAGGGGUGGGUAAUCUUUUGAAUGUGCAUCGUGAUUGGGAUAGAUGAUUGCAGUUUUUCAUCUUCAACGAGGAAUGCCUAGUAAACGCAAGUCAUCAGCUUGCAUUGAUUACGUCCCUGCCCUUUGUACACACCGCCCGUCGCUCCUACCGAUUGAAUGAUCCGAUGAAUAUCAUGGAUUGAGGAUGCAAGUAGGUUAGCCUAUCUUCAUCUUCGAGAAGUGAAGUAAAUCUUAUCAUUUAGAGGAAGGAGAAGUCGUAACA
rnacentral:rRNA from 1 species